rnacentral:rRNA from 1 species
GGUCAAGCUACAAAGGGCGCAUGGUGAAUGCCUUGGCAUCAGGAGCCGAUGAAGGACGUGAUAAGCUGCGAUAAGCUUCGGGUAGGCGCACAUAGCCUGAGAUCCGAAGAUCUCCGAAUGAGGAAACUCACAUGGGAAACCCCAUGUAUCAUUAAGUGAAUACAUAGCUUAAUGAAGGUAACCCAGGGAACUGAAACAUCUAAGUACCUGGAGGAAGAGAAAGAAAAAUCGAUUUUCUUAGUAGCGGCGAGCGAAAGGGAAAGAGCCCAAACCGGAAACUUGUUUCCGGGGUUGUGGACAUAACAUAAAAGUGGAGGCUAUUGUAACUGAAGAGAACUGGAAAGUUCCACCGUAGAAGGUAAUAGUCCUGUAAGUGAAACGAGAAGACCACGAGUUAUGAUCCAGAGUACCACGAGACACGUGAAACCUUGUGGGAAGCAGGGAGGACCACCUCCCAAGGCUAAAUACUACCUGAUGACCGAUAGUGAAGCAGUACCGUGAGGGAAAGGUGAAAAGAACCCCGGGAGGGGAGUGAAAUAGAACCUGAAACCGUGUGCCUACAACCGCUCAGAGCCCCUUAUGAGGGUGAUGAGGUGCUUUUUGUAGAACGAGCCAACGAGUUACGGUAUGUAGCAAGGUUAAGUACUUAAGGUACGGAGCCGAAGGGAAACCGAGUCUGAAUAGGGCGACUAGUUGCAUGCCGUAGACCCGAAACCGGGUGACCUAUCCAUGGCCAGGUUGAAGCGAGGGUAAAACCUCGUGGAGGACCGAACCACGUUGCUGUUGAAAAAGCAUGGGAUGAGCUGUGGAUAGCGGAGAAAUUCCAAUCGAACCCGGAGAUAGCUGGUUCUCUCCGAAAUAGCUUUAGGGCUAGCGUCGAGUAUGAGUAGUGGAGGUAGAGCACUGAAUGGGCUAGGGGGCAUAGCGCUUACCGAACCUUAUCAAACUCCGAAUGCCACAUACUUU